GGGGAUGUAGUUCAAGUGGUGGCACGCUCGCCUGGCAUGCGCGGGGCGCUGAGUUCGAUCCUCAGCACCACA
rnacentral:tRNA from 1 species